rnacentral:tRNA from 1 species
AAAGCCUUAGUUAAUAAGCAUAACAUUAAUUUGUCAGAUUAAAAUAACAUAAUAGUAGGCUUUU